GAAGUGGAACGAGUAAGCUGCGGCGGACUGCCGAACGCCACUUUUGGCUUACUUCCUUUCUCUGGAUGUGUACGAUGCCUCCGCCCAAGCGGAACGCUCAACCUGCCGCCGCUACUCAGCGAAUGAUCUAGCCGUCGUUUUUCGUCUUUUGCCGCUCCUGAAUAACCCGAGCUAGGUAUUCCACCUUCUCGUCGGAGGACAGCUUCUUAAACUCCUCGUUCGAGAGCACGCUGCCAAACUGGUCCAACAAUAAACGAGAGGCGUCCAAGUAGACGUUUAACGGGAUCUGUCGCUCGGUAUGCAACCAGUCAC
rnacentral:misc_RNA from 1 species